AUGAACGCUGGCGGCGUGCCUAAUACAUGCAAGUCGAGCGAACAGACGAGGAGCUUGCUCCUCUGACGUUAGCGGCGGACGGGUGAGUAACACGUGGAUAACCUACCUAUAAGACUGGGAUAACUUCGGGAAACCGGAGCUAAUACCGGAUAAUAUAUUGAACCGCAUGGUUCAAUAGUGAAAGACGGUUUUGCUGUCACUUAUAGAUGGAUCCGCGCCGCAUUAGCUAGUUGGUAAGGUAACGGCUUACCAAGGCAACGAUGCGUAGCCGACCUGAGAGGGUGAUCGGCCACACUGGAACUGAGACACGGUCCAGACUCCUACGGGAGGCAGCAGUAGGGAAUCUUCCGCAAUGGGCGAAAGCCUGACGGAGCAACGCCGCGUGAGUGAUGAAGGUCUUCGGAUCGUAAAACUCUGUUAUUAUGGAAGAACAAAUGUGUAAGUAACUAUGCACGUCUUGACGGUACCUAAUCAGAAAGCCACGGCUAACUACGUG
rnacentral:rRNA from 1 species